rnacentral:lncRNA from 1 species
GGCCCUACAAUUUAGUAUGUUUACAGGUUCAUUUGAAUUCUAUUAAUCUUUAUUGUCCAUAAAAGGUUCAUUCAUCACAGGCACAUUCAUGUUGCGGAUGUGAGGUACAAUAAAAUACACAGCAAGCAGACAGAGUGGGAACUCCAUGGUGACCUGACAGAGGGUCACCAGUACUGCAACACAAGGAAGGACACACAUAUAUCCCUUACAGAAUUACCCACCAAACCAGGACCAAGCAGCGGAGGAGGAAGGAGCAACAGGAGAACAGCUUGAUGGACUCGUGGACAUGGGAACAGAUACUGGACGGAGAGGGACCAUGGACUCAGGCUGGGGAGUAUCGCCUCCCGCAGUGGGAGAUUGAAGCGGCG